rnacentral:rRNA from 1 species
CCUACGGGAGGCAGCAGUGAGGAAUAUUGGUCAAUGGACGAGAGUCUGAACCAGCCAAGUAGCGUGAAGGAUGACUGCCCUAUGGGUUGUAAACUUCUUUUAUAAAGGAAUAAAACGAGGCACGUGUGCCUUUUUGCAUGUACUUUAUGAAUAAGGAUCGGCUAACUCCGUGCCAGCAGCCGCGGUAAUACGGAGGAUCCGAGCGUUAUCCGGAUUUAUUGGGUUUAAAGGGAGCGUAGAUGGGUUGUUAAGUCAGUUGUGAAAGUUUGCGGCUCAACCGUAAAAUUGCAAUUGAUACUGGCAGUCGUGAGUACAGUUGAGGUAGGCGGAAUUCGUGGUGUAGCGGUGAAAUGCUUAGAUAUCACGAAGAACCCCGAUUGCGAAGGCAGCUUACUAAACUGUGACUGACAUUGAUGCUCGAAAGUGUGGGUAUCAAACAGGAUUGGAUACCCUAGUAGUC